rnacentral:rRNA from 1 species
AAAGGCGCUUUCGGGUGUCGCUGAUGGAUGGACCCGCGGUGCAUUAGCUAGUUGGUGAGGUAACGGCUCACCAAGGCCACGAUGCAUAGCCGACCUGAGAGGGUGAUCGGCCACAUUGGGACUGAGACACGGCCCAAACUCCUACGGGAGGCAGCAGUAGGGAAUCUUCGGCAAUGGACGAAAGUCUGACCGAGCAACGCCGCGUGAGUGAAGAAGGUUUUCGGAUCGUAAAACUCUGUUGUUAGAGAAGAACAAGGAUGAGAGUAACUGUUCAUCCCUUGACGGUAUCUAACCAGAAAGCCACGGCUAACUACGUGCCAGCAGCCGCGGUAAUACGUAGGUGGCAAGCGUUGUCCGGAUUUAUUGGGCGUAAAGCGAGCGCAGGCGGUUUCUUAAGUCUGAUGUGAAAGCCCCCGGCUCAACCGGGGAGGGUCAUUGGAAACUGGGAGACUUGAGUGCAGAAGAGGAGAGUGGAAUUCCAUGUGUAGCGGUGAAAUGCGUAGAUAUAUGGAGGAACACCAGUGGCGAAGGCGGCUCUCUGGUCUGUAACUGACGCUGAGGCUCGAAAGCGUGGGGAGCAAACAGGAUUAGAUACCCUGGUAGUCCACGCCGUAAACGAUGAGUGCUAAGUGUUGGAGGGUUUCCGCCCUUCAGU